ensembl:misc_RNA Metazoa_SRP Metazoan signal recognition particle RNA
GCCGGGUGUGGUGGCGCGUGCCUGUAGUCCCAGCUACUCAGGAGGCUGAGGUGGGAGGAUUGCUUGAGCCUGGAAGGUUGAGGCUGCAGUGAGCCAUGAUUGUGCCACUGCACUCCAGCCUGGGUGACAAAGCAAAACCCUGUCUCAA